rnacentral:rRNA from 1 species
GAUGAACGCUGGCGGCGUGCCUAAUACAUGCAAGUCGAGCGAACGGACGAGAAGCUUGCUUUUCUGAUGUUAGCGGCGGACGGGUGAGUAACACGUGGAUAACCUACCUAUAAGACUGGGAUAACUUCGGGAAACCGGAGCUAAUACCGGAUAAUAUUUUGAACCGCAUGGUUCAUAAGUGAAAGACGGUCUUGCUGUCACUUAUAGAUGGAUCCGCGCUGCAUUAGCUAGUUGGUAAGGUAACGGCUUACCAAGGCAACGAUGCAUAGCCGACCUGAGAGGGUGAUCGGCCACACUGGAACUGAGACACGGUCCAGACUACUACGGGAGGCAGCAGUAGGGAAUCUUCCGCAAUGGGCGAAAGCCUGACGGAGCAACGCCGCGUGAGCGAUGAAGGUCUUCGGAUCGUAAAACUCUGUUAUUAGGGAAGAACAUAUGUGUAAGUAACUGUGCACAUCUUGACGGUACCUAAUCAGAAAGCCACGGCUAACUACGUGC